rnacentral:lncRNA from 1 species
GUCGAGAAAGGUUCGGAGUGGAUGGUGAAAUGGGAACCGGUGCAGGAAGGGUUCCAGGUGAAGCUGAGGAGUUGGUGUGGGACUUACUUGAGAGGGAAUGGUGGGACUCCCCCUUGGAGAAACUCGGUGACUCAUGAUCAGCCUCACACUUCCGCUACUGGGAAGUGGAUUCUGUGGGACGUGGAGAUUGUGGAUCAUUUUGAAUUCGAUGGCUUAGCCUCUUUCUCUAGCUUUGCUUCUGAUGAGCCCUUUGGGUCCGAACCUCCAACACCCUUGACUACUAAAACACAGGUAAAUUAUUAUUAUUCCAUUCUGAUUUUGAUCAAAAACUUAACUAACUGUUCGAAACCGAUCGAACCGAACACAGCUGUUCAAAUGUGAGAAGGAGUUAUUCCAUUAAAGCCAUUCCUAACCAAAUCUAAUCCGACAACAUUUUUAAAAAUCCUUAAUCAAUAUAUUGAAAAUCUGCCAGCUCAGUUGUGUAUGCUCAAUGAGAUAAACCAUAGGCAAUUGGGUAGUAAAUUAGUUUAAUAGAACUAACAAUUUUGUAUUUAAUUUCUUGUUUUGUCAUAUAUAAUUAACGACCAAAUUAACUCCUUAACCAGAUUUUCUGCCAUGUAGUAAUUAAUGAAUUAUACUGUCAACAAACACACAUUAUCUCUUUUCAAAUGGACUUCUCUCCACUAAAUAAAGAAGUGUUCUUAAACAAUUUAAAUAUAAUGAUCACUAUUUAUCUCAUAAUUCAUACCUAGCAAUUAAAUACUAUGUUAAUAUAAUCUACCUAGAAAACGAACAUACAACUAUUUUUUCACUAGUCCAAUAUUAAUUUUCUAGAGAGGCUGUGUUGGGGGAACUUUUGGCCACCAAUUUUUUAAUGAUCAAUAUUUUACACUUUUCCUAGAUUAAAAUACAGUAAGCCAAUUGAAUGAUUUUAUAUAAAAUAUUUUAAAUCUUGUUUGACUAUGUCACUCUUUUACAUUAUCAUUCAAAAUAUUAUAUACAUACGUACACUACUUUCCACUAUUUUAUAAUAUAUAGCCUUACUUUAAUUAAUAAUUCAACAUUGUUCAACUAAUGACUUUCUUUUACUCAUGGACUUUCUUUAGUCAAAUUUGACAAUCAAAUAAUUAGCAAUACCGUGUAUUAAAUAAUUCAAGCAUUGAUUGAUUGAUACUAAUGGUACCAAAUAAUUGAAUAGAUAUUCAUUGUUGUUAUCAUUAUUAUUUUAUAAAGAUAAUAGGUGAGUGUAACGAAAAGAAAGACCUAAAAUUUUGAGGUCUAGAAAUUAACGAAACAACAAAACAUAAUAAGAAAGAGAAGGCAACUAGAAAUGCCAUGAAUGAGUACGUUUAGGUUUGAAUUGAUUUUGUAAGUGUGUAUGAGCGUAAAAACAAUAAAAAGGUGAAUAUACUAAAAGUGAUUACAUGAUACCAACAAAAGGAAAAAGAGAGAGAAGAAUGAAAACAAAGAAAAGUAUGUUUUAAGGAAGCUAGCUGGAUUGGUUGGAACUACGAAACUCAUUGGACCAGAAACUAAAACUAAGACCCAAUUUUACUUUCCAUAUCCGCCAAAACAGAAAAAGGGGAAAAUUCUUAGACUUUUACCAUUCAAAUUCAGUUUUCAAGAUCAAUUUCUUCUAAACUAUAUGAAACAAAACUCGAAAGCAACAGCUAUGAAAAUCAAAAGUUGAAUCAAUCCGUGUUUAUCCAAUUCUUUCCCACUUUCCUCCAAUCUCCCCCCCCAUUGGCCAUAAUCACUCACCAAGAAUCUUCCUCCAUUUCUAUUUCUCACUCAUAAAAUGCUCAAUCAUUUCAAUCAUUUUUCUCAUUCAGUUCUAUAAUUUUUCUCAAUUUCUUCCAGAUUCGUCACAGCUCGUCUGUUAUGGAUUUGUUUCGCAAUGCUAAAACGAUCAGACUCCGGAGCCACCACAAGAAGUAUUUAUCCGCUGAUGAAGAUGAGGAAUCCGUCGUUCAGGACCGGAAUGGAUCAUCCAAGAACGUUAGGUGGACUGUCGAGUUCGUUUCCUUCUCCGAUGCUAUUAUCCGCCUGAAAAGCUGUUACGGGAAGUACUUAAUGGCGUCCAACCAGCCGUUCUUGCUUGGAAUGACUGGGCGGAAGGUUAUGCAAGCUCGUCCUGAACGGUUUGAAUCUUCGCUUGAGUGGGAGCCGGUUAAGGAUGGCUCCUUCCUUCGUCUCAAAACAAGGUACGGUAAUUACUUGAGAGCUAACGGCGGUGUUCCCCCGUGGCGGAACUCGGUUACUCACGAUGUACCGCACCGGGCUUCUACUAAGGAUUGGAUUCUAUGGGAUCUUGAUGUUGUGGAUAUCGAAACUCAAUCUUCUGUUCAUAAAACCCUAGAUCAUCCCUCCGACCCGGAUUCACCUCUGGAGGUGGAUUCAAUUUCGUCCUCGGUUUCACAAGAUUCCGCUCGUCCUUCAACUGCUGAGGUAUGUUACUAAACUUACCACCGUCAAUUCAUUUUCAUGAAACCCCAAUAAAUAUUUAUUUUGAAUUGAUUUCAAAAUUUAUCACAAAUGAUCAGUACAACGUUGGUGGAGGAUCAAAUUCACCUCCAAAAUCAGAGGGGAGGAGGAUAUCUUUCCUAUUUGCUGAUGAAAAUGGAGAAGAUGAGGAUUCAGAGAGACAUUCAUUGAAUUUCAAUGGGAAAGGAGUGGAGGAUUUGACUCGUAAAUUAGAAGAAGAGAUGGGAAUUGAAGGUGUAGUUGUAUGUACUCGUAGCCCUCUGAAUGGAAAGCUUUACCCAAUUCGGUUGCAACUUCCUCCCAACAAUGGAA